rnacentral:rRNA from 1 species
GAACGUAGCGAAAUGCGAUACUUGGUGUGAAUUGCAGAAUCCCGUGAACCAUCGAGUCUUUGAACGCAAGUUGCGCCCGAUGCCUUCAGGCUGAGGGCACGUCUGUUUGGGCGUCACGCAUCUCGUCAACGCCUCCCACGUCGUCUUCUUCCGCCACUCAAG